rnacentral:rRNA from 1 species
GUGGGGAAUAUUGGACAAUGGGGGGAACCCUGAUCCAGCCAUGCCGCGUGUGUGAAGAAGGCCUUUUGGUUGUAAAGCACUUUAAGCGAGGAGGAGGCUACCGAGAUUAAUACUCUUGGAUAGUGGACGUUACUCGCAGAAUAAGCACCGGCUAACUCUGUGCCAGCAGCCGCGGUAAUACAGAGGGUGCAAGCGUUAAUCGGAUUUACUGGGCGUAAAGCGCGCGUAGGUGGCCAAUUAAGUCAAAUGUGAAAUCCCCGAGCUUAACUUGGGAAUUGCAUUCGAUACUGGUUGGCUAUAGUAUGGGAGAGGAUGGUAGAAUUCCAGGUGUAGCGGUGAAAUGCGUAGAGAUCUGGAGGAAUACCGAUGGCGAAGGCAGCCAUCUGGCCUAAUACUGACACUGAGGUGCGAAAGCAUGGGGAGCAAACAGGAUUAGAAACCCUAGUAGUCC